GUUAAAAAGCUCGUAGUCGGAUUUCAGUAUUAGGCCCACCUACAUUGUUGUAGCGUGGUUCUUUACUUCUUUAACAGAAUCUUUCAUCGCAUUAAUUUACGGUGUUUGGGGCCUGUUUCUUUUACUUUGAGAAAAUUAGAGUGUUCAAAGCGGGUUUUCGCCUGGAUAUUACUCUUGGAAUAAUAAUAUAGGACUUUGGUUCUUUUUUGUAGGUGACUUAGAACCGAAGUAAUGAUUGAUAGGGACAGUUGGGGUCAUUCGUACUGCAAAGCGAGAGGUGAAAUUCAUGGACCUUUGUAUGACGAACUACUGCGAAAGCAUUUGACUAGGAUGUUCCCGUUGAUCAAGAACGAAAGUUGGGGGAUCGAAGACGAUCAGAUACCGUCGUAGUCUCAACCAUAAACUAUGCCAGCUAGGGAUUGGAAGAAGAUCACAUACGUCUCUUUCAGCACCUUAUGAGAAAUCAAAGCAUUUGGGUUCCGGGGGGAGUAU
rnacentral:rRNA from 1 species